rnacentral:misc_RNA from 1 species
AUUCCUCAACCCUAUCGUUUUUUAAGAAAAUGGUGCUGGUUGGAUGCUGAGCGUUGCUGGACUUUCAGUUCAGCUCGCUUCAAAUUUAUGAGCAAGCUCCUACCCUUUUCGGACUGACUCAACGUGAUAAGAAAUUUCGUUGGGGACGCUUUAUUGCGGCCGAACGGUAGGGAAAUGCUGCUGCUAGUUGAACCUUAUAU